UACGUAGGGGGCGAGCGUUGUCCGGAGUUACUGGGCGUAAAGCGCACGCAGGCGGUCUGCUAAGUUUGGAGUGACAGUUGGUGGCUCAACCACCAAAGUGCUUUGAAAACUGACAGACUUGAGGGCUUCAGAGGGACACGGAAUUCCGGGUGGAGUGGUGAAAUGCGUAGAGAUCCGGAGGAACACCGAAGGCGAAGGCAGUGUCCUGGGGAGUACCUGACGCUCAGGUGCGAAAGCUAGGGGAACGAACGGG
rnacentral:rRNA from 1 species